rnacentral:rRNA from 1 species
AUUGAACGCUGGCGGCAGGCCUAACACAUGCAAGUCGAGCGGAUGAAGGGAGCUUGCUCCUGGAUUCAGCGGCGGACGGGUGAGUAAUGCCUAGGAAUCUGCCUGGUAGUGGGGGAUAACGUCCGGAAACGGGCGCUAAUACCGCAUACGUCCUGAGGGAGAAAGUGGGGGAUCUUCGGACCUCACGCUAUCAGAUGAGCCUAGGUCGGAUUAGCUAGUUGGUGGGGUAAAGGCCUACCAAGGCGACGAUCCGUAACUGGUCUGAGAGGAUGAUCAGUCACACUGGAACUGAGACACGGUCCAGACUCCUACGGGAGGCAGCAGUGGGGAAUAUUGGACAAUGGGCGAAAGCCUGAUCCAGCCAUGCUGCGUGCGUGAAGAAGGUCUUCGGAUUGUAAAGCACUUUAAGUUGGGAGGAAGGGCAGUAAGUUAAUACCUUGCUGUUUUGACGUUACCAACAGAAUAAGCACCGGCUAACUUCGUG